UCUCCAUGGCCUGCUUCCCAUAACUGGCCUUACUAAAACUUGCGACUUGAUUAGAGUACCUAAACUGCUUUCCGGUUAACUGCUGACUUUCUUUGCUAGCUCACCCGAAACUCUGUCUUCAGGAGGAAAGCUUGCUUGAGUACCUUACUGGAAAACAAACCGCUUGAGCUGUAACCGAAACAGAAAGGUUUGAUGAGCCGCUGCUUGCUCUCUAACUGCUCUUACCGCUUCUUUUUCUUGACCUCUGCUCACUGCUCCCAAUGCUGUGACUGCCGCCCCUAUCUCUAAAGCUGCGGAUUACAGCUCCUGACUCAACAAGUUCAAAGUCUUAAGUAUGAGUCUUGUUUGUGACAUUAAAGAAUGAACAUUCAAUUCAAAGGAAUGGGACAGACUGCUGCUUGCUAUUACUGACUGCGGCUGCCGACCGAAGAACUUAAGAUCUUCAAUCUAUGUUUGAGUGCUCUAGCGAAAGAAAAGAAUUUAGAAUGCUAAAAUGACUUCUAAAAAUAGGAUAGGAAGAUGAUUUUCCAUUUAUUUCUGAAAUUACGUAUCAAUAUACAUUCCCUUUCCGUCAACUAAAGUCUGUUCGUUUCGUCCGUCAAAAUGAAAUGGCAAUAACUCAUCUCGGGCAAGAACCAACUACUAAGCGGUCGUUCGGGCUCUAUUCCCUCGGUCAUGGCGAGGGGAAAGGGAAGGCAUACCUUUGAAAGAUUUACAGCCUAGCAAGGACUACGCUGGCGAGUGACGAUUGGCCGAGGGGAGUUCCAUCAUGUAGCUGGGCCAGUAAAAGACAAGUGAAGGGAUUGACUAAGCCAAUCAUGAAUGACCACCUAAGGAAGCGGCUAGGCUAAGGCUAAGAAGAGCAAGCAAAGGCAGAAGGAAGACCUUCCAUUCUUGCACAGAGCCUCUUACUCGAAAAGUGGAUAGGCAGCAAGCACAACUGGAUCUCCUCAUCUCUUAUAGAUUCUCGUUCUUCCAUAUAUCCCUUCAAAGCCAAGCCGCAAAGCUAUAAUUCUUUUUCCCUUUAUCCCUCUGACCAUAGCCCAUAACCAUUCCAAAAGUGAACGGUCUCCAAAUGGCUUUGAACGCAUUCAUCGUUUUCCACUGUACCGAUGUUUCCGGCUCCUCUAUUUUUAUUAGGUCCUCCCUUGUUACAGGUAAAGGUACCGUAGCAAACUCCAUGAUUGAUAGUAUCCUCUCAGUUGUCUCAUUCCUCAUAAGCGCUUCAUUUAUAUCCAACCCCAAGUUCCAAGGCUCCUGCUGCUGUGGCCACUUUUGCUCUGCUUUCUCCAUAACCUUCAAGCUUGCCAUUUGUGAAUUAACACUUUUUAUCUGAAUCUCCGUCCCCUUCUCAAAUUGUGAUCUUUUCUUCCUCUAUGUUGAAUGCCAACUUCCUCACCUCAGAGCUGAAAGACGAGUGAACAGCUACCUCCUCUAGAACAGUGGCAAGAAUAUAGUCUUUCUAUCCCAGAGCAAGAAGACUUUCUCCCUCGGCUCACUCAAACUGAACAACAGGGAUUUCUAUUAAGGAGCCUGGUGUGGGUUCUAUUCACUCUCGGAUCUAAUGAAUCCAAUUCACUCUUUUCUUUCAAUGGCAUCGCUUCUUCCUAUUCCUUCUUCACUUUUCCUUGCUUACCUGGCUACUUGAAUAGCAGAAACCUUAGCUACUUUACUCGAUUCCUACCUUGGGUCACGAGAUCAGCUCUAUUCAGCUCGGAAGUCACGGAACUCUCUUCAUUUACUCCAACAGUGAAGUCAAAGGCAACGAACAAACCUUCCUCCGUCAGUUCCUUUACUCUCUCUCUUGAGCGCUUUCUGGUGAAAUGAACCAAUUCACCAUUGAGUUCGAUUUUUUCUAGUUUCAAAGGCUAAUGCACGCUGAAUUUCAUUCCAGAAAACCUCUCCUUUCUGAAGGAAGGCAAGGUCAACGUAGCUGCAGAAGCCAGUGUUGGCUUAUGAACUCGCCACAUAUUGAACUUGUUUAUUCCACUCGUCGAUACGGCUUUCUGUUCUUCCAGCUAGUAAAUUUCUCUUUAUUAGUUCUGUUCUAUCUGCACAGCUAAAGUAGAAAAAGAUGUGGGAAAUCCAACCUGUUGAAACGAGUACUAGGAAGUAGUAGAAACCCCUAUGUGUAUAGCCUCCUGUUUUCCAUGGUCCUCAAGCCGAGCGCUCCAAUCCUUGGUCAGUUUCGAGGUUUGGCUAUUCAUCUCUUUUUCCGCCUUUUUUGUCAGCGGGAGCCAAUUGACUAUUUUCCUUUGGAUGUGGGUCCCGGCCAAGAGUUUCAGUUCUAGUUCCCAGCAAUCUCGGGCAUACUCUCUCUUCCUUGCUUUUCGACCCAGUUGCAUGCGCCCAACCAGUCCUUUUGAUGAAUCUAAGAAAAGCCAUUGAUUGGAGGUUGCCUGCCAUUCGUAAUGCUUUUCUUCUCUCUCCCCUCUCUGCGGCGGGAGUGACCUUUUCCUGUGAGUAAUCCAUUUCUAGCGAGUCUUAAAUUUCUAUAGGUGUGUCAGGAUCCCCUCCUAUAGAAAGGAAUCUAGCUGCACUCCAGUUGCUGUCAUUCCCGUCGCUUCUGCUUGAAGAAAUAGAUAAAGAGAAGGUUAUACCGAAUCCUCAAGG
rnacentral:lncRNA from 1 species